GCAGAGCCCCAAAGCCCAACGUGCUGCACGGAUUCCUCCGUGCGGCCGCCAGCAGCGCCGGCCUCGGCCGCGGCAUUCCUCACUCCAAUAGGCAUUCGGCCAUUUUCUCAAAAUACCAAACACAAAGCAGCUCUUUGCAAAACUCGGGCGCUCUCGCUUCCUCCCGGCCGGGCGCGCUCACUGCACGCGCUCCCACCCCGGCUCGCGCGACUCGCCCCGACCCUCGUCCCGGAGCCCUUUCCCCGGGUGCCCCCCCCCCACGCCGAGCGGGGCCGGCGGGGCAAGCCCGGGGCGCCGUUGGGCCAGACCCGGGCCUCCCCGCUCGUCGCCGCCGCCGCCGCCGCCGCCCCCUCCCCGGCCCCGCGGGCCCGAGUCCGGGAAGGGGAAGGCAAAGUUACCGCGUCGCCGGCGCCCCGGGCUCACCCUCCGCGGCGGGCCCGGGAGGCUCCGCGGGCGCCCUCCGGAGGCGUCGGGCCCCAAGCGCCGGAGGGGCCCCCACGCGCGCCCCGGAAGUCUGAGAACUCACUGCCCCACGGCGCCCCGCGGGCCGCGCGCCCCGGUCCCGCCAGCUCGCGCGCGGAGGCGGCCGGGCGCGGGGGGCCGCGGCGGCGGGGCGGCCCGGGAGCAGAAAUCGCUGUCCAGCCCCAUUGGCGGAGCCGCCCGGGCCGCGGGGCUGACUCAACCCGCCCGGCCGCACUCAACGGCGCCUUCCGGCGCAAGGGAGAGGCCGCGGAGGGAGGGGGCCGGCGGGGCCGGCGGGGCCGGCGGGGCCGACAGGGCCGCGGGCCGGCGAGGGGCUGCGGCGGGACCUGGGGGCCGGGGGCGCGGGGAGGCAGCUCCGGGGCCGGGGCCGGGGCCGGGGCCGCAGGCGGCGCGGCUCCUCGGGACCCCGCUCCGAGGGCGCCCGGGCCCGCGACUGGGGAGGGGGUCCUGGCUCCACGCCGCUCCCCGGGGACGCCCCCGGCCCAGCCCCCGGGCCGCGCCGGUGUAACCCGAUCCCGCCCGGCCGCCCGCCCCCGCCCCGCGCCGCGGCCGCCGCCGGAGCCACAGUAUCUGCAAAUCAGCCCUGGACAGCGCCUCGCUCCGCGUCCUUCCGCGCCCUCCCCCUGCCGCCGCCGCCGCCGCCGCCGCCGCCGCCCGGCCCUCCCCCACCCGGCCGAGCCCCCGGCCCUGCGCCGCGCUUACCGGCCUUCCCCGGCGAGGAGGCGCGGGCGACCCGCCGUCGCCGCUCCUCCGCCGACUACUUUUCUUUGUUGCCGGAGUUUCGGGGGGAGGGGAGGGGGAGGAUGGAAAAGUUGGGCGCUGGGGACGUCGAGGCCCGCGAAGGCCCAGGACUGGGGCUCGCAGAGAGCGCUCAGGCCGCCGGCUCCCGCCCCGCCGUCCCGGCCGCCGCCGCCGCCGCCGCCGCCGCCGCCGGGGUCUGUGGCCCGGGGCCUCGGCGGCGCUCGCUCUGCUGCUGCGCCGCGAGCUCGCGGGAGCCGCACAUUCCAGCACAGGAGGCUGCGCCGCGCACCCAGCCCGCGCCGCCGCCGCCGCCGCUGCCGCCGCCGCCGCCGCCGCCGCCCGCGGGACACGCCCCCUCCACCGCCCGCGCGCGCCCGCGGGACACGCCCACCCCGCCGCCCGCGCGCGUGGCCGCCC
rnacentral:lncRNA from 1 species